rnacentral:rRNA from 1 species
CCAAACCCUAUCAAACUCCGAAUACCUUAUAUGUAAUCACAGCAGUCAGGCGGCGAGUGAUAAAAUCCGUCGUCAAGAGGGAAACAACCCAGACUACCAGCUAAGGUCCCUAAAUCUUACUUAAGUGGAAAACGAUGUGAAGUUACUUAAACAACCAGGAGGUUGGCUUAGAAGCAGCCAUCCUUUAAAGAAAGCGUAAUAGCUCACUGGUCUAGUGAUUUUGCGCGGAAAAUAUAACGGGGCUAAAGUAAGUACCGAAGCUGUAGACUUGCGCACAACUUAGAUUAUUUAAGUUUAGAAUAUGAGAAACUAAGUUAUAUGUUUAGUUAUAUUUUUACUGAUUUUUAUAGAGUAAAGAUAGAAAUAAAACUUAGUAAAAUCAGUAAAAAUAUUCUUAGACUAAAGUUAAGUAGUUUAAGUUGUGUGCAAGUGGUAGGAGAGCGUUCUAUUUGCGUCGAAGGUAUACCGGUAAGGAGUGCUGGAGCGAAUAGAAGUGAGCAUGCAGGCAUGAGUAGCGAUAAUUAAUGUGAGAAUCAUUAACGCCGUAAACCCAAGGUUUCCUACGCGAUGCUCGUCAUCGUAGGGUUAGUCGGGUCCUAAGUCGAGUCCGAAAGGGGUAGACGAUGGCAAAUUGGUUAAUAUUCCAAUACCAACAUUAGUGUGCGAUGGAAGGACGCUUAGGGCUAAGGGGGCUAGCGGAUGGAAGUGCUAGUCUAAGGUCGUAGGAGGUUAUACAGGCAAAUCCGUAUAACAAUACUCCGAGAACUGAAAGGCUUUUUGAAGUCUUCGGAUGGAUAGAAGAACCCCUGAUGCCGUCGAGCCAAGAAAAGUUUCUAAGUUUAGCUAAUGUUGCCCGUACCGUAAACCGACACAGGUGGGUGGGAUGAGUAUUCUAAGGCGCGUGGAAGAACUCUCUUUAAGGAACUCUGCAAAAUAGCACCGUAUCUUCGGUAUAAGGUGUGGUUCGCUUCGUAUUAGGAUUUACUCCGAAAGCGAAGAAACUUACAACAAAGAGUCCCUCCCGACUGUUUACCAAAAACACAGCACUCUGCUAACUCGUAAGAGGAUGUAUAGGGUGUGACGCCUGCCCGGUGCUCGAAGGUUAAUUGAUGGGGUUAGCAUUAGCGAAGCUCUUGAUCGAAGCCCGAGUAAACGGCGGCCGUAACUAUAACGGUCCUAAGGUAGCGAAAUUCCUUGUCGGUUAAAUACCGACCUGCAUGAAUGGCGUAACGAGAUGGGAGCUGUCUCAAAGAGGGAUCCAGUGAAAUUGUAGUGGAGGUGAAAAUUCCUCCUACCCGCGGCAAGACGGAAAGACCCCGUGGACCUUUACUACAGCUUGACACUGCUAUUUGGAUAAGAAUGUGCAGGAUAGGUGGGAGGCUUUGAGUAUAUGACGCCAGUUGUAUAUGAGCCAUUGUUGAGAUACCACUCUUUCUUAUUUGGGUAGCUAACCAGCUUGAGUUAUCCUCAAGUGGGACAAUGUCUGGUGGGUAGUUUGACUGGGGCGGUCGCCUCCCAAAUAAUAACGGAGGCUUACAAAGGUUGGCUCAGAACGGUUGGAAAUCGUUCGUAGAGUAUAAAGGUAUAAGCCAGCUUAACUGCAAGACAUACAAGUCAAGCAGAGACGAAAGUCGGUCUUAGUGAUCCGGUGGUUCUGUGUGGAAGGGCCAUCGCUCAAAGGAUAAAAGGUACCCCGGGGAUAACAGGCUGAUCUCCCCCAAGAGCUCACAUCGACGGGGAGGUUUGGCACCUCGAUGUCGGCUCAUCGCAUCCUGGGGCUGGAGCAGGUCCCAAGGGUAUGGCUGUUCGCCAUUUAAAGCGGUACGCGAGCUGGGUUCAGAACGUCGUGAGACAGUUCGGUCCCUAUCUGCCGUGGGCGUAAGAAGAUUGAAGAGAUUUGACCCUAGUACGAGAGGACCGGGUUGAACAAACCACUGGUGUAGCUGUUGUUCUGCCAAGAGCAUCGCAGCGUAGCUAAGUUUGGAAAGGAUAAACGCUGAAAGCAUCUAAGCGUGAAGCCAACUCUAAGAUGAAUCUUCUCUAAGCUCUCUAGAAGACUACUAGUUUGAUAGGCUGGGUGUGUAAUGGAUGAAAGUCCUUUAGCUGACCAGUACUAAUAGAGCGUUUGGCUUAUCUUUAAUAAAGCAU